CCCGGCGGCGGCGCUGCGCGGCUCCCAGGCCGCGGGCCUGGCGGCCCCGGGCGGCGCGGCGGCGGCCAACGGGCCCCUCGGCGCGGGCGCGGGCGCGGGCGGCGCCGCCCCCGGAGGCUACUUCGAGACUCCUUUUAAUUUUGGCAUGAAUCAUAGAACACCACCCUACCCCGCUGGGGAUUAUUGUCUUCUGUGCAGAAGUGAGCGGAAAGACUCUUCAUUCUUAGAGAGCGGAAUUAAGACUGCGAGCAAAUUGGCCCUUUCUAUGGCCCCCAAGGGCAACAGCGUGCUGCACCUGCCACUGUGGGUAUGCCCAGACUGCCGGCGGACUGUGGAGAAGGAGGAGAGGCACAGUGGCCUCGACCAGCCAUCGCAGGGCCAAGACUUUCUUCUUCACUCCCCUCUCAGCGGCUCGCAGCCGGAGGCGGGCGGCGGGCGGCUGGCCCUCGGCGCGCAGACGCUGCCCUCGGCCGGGCUAGGCGCCGCCCCCUCGGACGCCGCGUGUGCUUGCGAGGCCUGCAGCGAGCGCAGAGAGAUUUCGGCAGACACAGACCGGGAGCCCCAGCAGCUGCAGAACUACUGGUCAGAAGUGCGCUACACGGUCCGCUGCAUUUACCGCCAGGCAGGGACCCCGCUGGCCGACGACCAAGACCAGAGUCUGGUGCCGGACAAGGAGGGGGUGAAGGAGCUCGUGGAUAGGCUCUGUGAGAGGGACCCUUACCAGCUGUACCAGCGGUUGGAACAACAGGCCAGAGAGUAUGUGCUGGAGAUGAAGGUCCGACUCCUCCGGCAGCUGUCGGCUGCAUCCAAAGUGAAAGCCCCGUCUGCCCUGCAGGGCCCUCCACAGGCACACCAGUUCAUCUCCCUCCUUCUCGAGGAGUACGGUGCCCUCUGCCAGGCGGCACGCACAAUCAGCACCUUCCUUGGCACGCUGGAAAACGAACACUUGAAAAAGUUCCAGGUGACGUGGGAGCUGCAUAAUAAACAUCUGUUUGAAAACCUGGUCUUUUCGGAGCCACUUCUCCAGAGCAACUUGCCGGCACUGGUGUCACAGAUCAGGCUGGGGACCACCACACACGACACGUGCAACGAGGACACGUACAGCACCCUGCUGCAGCGGUACCAGCGCUCCGAGGAGGAGUUGCGCAGGGUGGCUGAGGAGUGGCUGGAGUGCCAGCAGAGGAUCGACGCCUAUGUCGAUGAGCAGAUGACCAUGAAAACCAAACAGCGCAUGCUGACAGAGGACUGGGAGCUUUUCAAACAAAGGCGAUUCAUUGAGGAGCAGCUAACCAACAAGAAAGCAGUUGCUGGUGAGAACAAUUUCACGGACGCCAUGAGGCACAUGUUGUCCUCCCGGCUGAGCAUGCCCGACUGCCCCAACUGCAACUACAGGAGAAGAUGUGCUUGUGAUGACUGCAGCCUCUCACACAUCCUCACUUGUGGUGUCAUGGACCCCCCCGUCACUGGCGACAUCCACAGUCACCAGCUGCCCCUCCAAGUGGAUUCUGCUCCCGACUAUCUCUCUGAGAUGCGCCCACCUAGCGUGUCCUCAGCAAGCUCAGGGUCAGGUUCCAGCUCUCCCAUUACAAUUCAGCAACAUCCCAGACUCAUCCUCACAGACAAUGGCUCUGCACCAACUUUUUGUAGUGAUGACGAAGACGUUGCACCAUUGUCAGCUAAGUUUGCUGAUAUUUAUCCAUUGAGUAACUACGACGAUACUGAGGUGGUGGCCAACAUGAAUGGAAUCCACAGCGAAUUGAAUGGUGGCGGGGAAAACAUGGCUCUGAAAGAUGAGUCCCCUCAGGUAAGCAGUACCAGUAGUAGCUCUUCAGAGGCUGACGACGAAGAGGCAGAUGGCGAAAGCAGUGGGGAGCCGCCAGGAGCCCCAAAGCAAGACGUGGCUCUAGGCAAUGGGAGCCCCAGGAAAGAGGAAAGUAAAGUGGACAGUCCACCCCCAUCUUACCCAACUCAGCAGGCUGAACAAACUCCAAACACUUGUGAAUGUCAUGUUUGUAAACAAGAAGCCUCUGGACUGACAGCAUCAGCAAUGACAGCUGGCGCCCUUCCUCCCGGCCAUCAGUUCAUGAGUCCAGAGAAGCCCACACACCCUGCUCUGCAUCUUUACCCCCACAUCCACGGACAUGUGCCUUUGCACGCAGUCCCACACCUGCCCCGCCCUCUCAUCCACCCCACCUUGUAUACAGCGCCCCCCUUCACACACAGUAAGGCUUUACCGCCAGCACCUGUUCAGAAUCACACAAAUAAGCAUCAGGUAUUCAAUGCAUCUCUUCAAGACCAUAUUUAUCCAAGCUGUUUUGGGAAUACUCCAGAGUGGAAUAGUUCUAAAUUUAUAAGUCUUUGGGGAUCAGAAGUGAUGAAUGAUAAGAACUGGAAUCCUGGCACUUUCUUGCCAGAUACAAUUUCUGGGGGUGACAUGCUAGGGCCAGCGCUGUCCGAACCCAGACCCGAAGCCCUCCCGCCUCCGCCCAGCGACGAGGCGCCCACCGUGUCGGAGAGCAAGGAGAAAAAAAGUGCCGCCAAACAGAAGUGCUUAUACAAUUUCCAAGACGCCUUCCUGGAGGCGAACAAAGUCGUGAUGGCCACGUCGUCCGCCACCUCCUCCGUAUCCUGCACAGCCACCACCGUGCAGUCAAGCAACAGCCAGUUCAAAGUGUCAUCCAAGAGGCCUCCCUCCCUAGGCGAGGUGUUCCACGGCGUCAGCAAGGAGGACCACAGACAUGCGGUGCCGGCCGCCCCGAGGAACAGCCCCACGGGCCUGGCGCCGCUCCCCGCCCUCGCCCCUGCCGCCCUCGCCCCUGCCUCCUCGCCUCACCUCGCAAGUCUCGCAGCCCCGUCCUUCCCCAGCACCGCGGCCACGUCUCCCGGGUUUGUGGACACGCGCAAGAGCUUCUGUCCUGCUCCCGGAGCCCCCCCGCCCCCCACCACAGACAGCUCCCUCAGCGCCCCCCCCAGCGUCUGCAGUGACCCCGACUGCGAGGGGCACCGCUGUGAGAACGGCGUGUAUGACCCGCAGCAAGACGACGGGGACGAGAGUGCUGACGAGGACAGCUGCUCCGAGCACAGCUCCAGCACCUCGACCUCCACCAACCAGAAGGAGGGCAAGUACUGUGACUGCUGCUACUGUGAGUUCUUCGGGCACGGCGGGCCUCCGGCUGCACCAACAAGUAGGAAUUAUGCAGAAAUGAGGGAGAAGCUUCGUUUGCGGCUGACCAAGAGGAAAGAGGAACAGCCUAAGAAAGCGGACCAGCUCUCCGAGAGGGAGGGUGUGGUUGACCAUCGCAGGGUGGAGGACCUUCUGCGGUUCAUAAACAGCUCCGAGCCCAAGCCAGUGAGCAGCACCCGAGCCGCCAAGCGAGCCAGGCACAAGCAGAGAAAGCUGGAAGAGAAGGCGCGCCUGGAAGCAGAGGCCCGGGCCCGGGAGCACCUGCACCUCCGGGAGGAGCAGCGGCGGCAGGAGGAGGAGGAGGAGUUUCAGCGGCUUCAGGAGCUUCAGAAGCUGAGGGCUGUGAAAAAGAAGAAGAAGGAGAGGCCAAGCAAAGACUGUCCCAAGUUGGACAUCCUUGCCAGAAACUUCCAGGCAGCAGCAGAGUCUGUACCUAACUCUGAAAACAUGCACAAUGGCUCACUAGAGCAAAUGGAAGAACCAGAGACCUCACCUCACUCCCCUUCCAGACACGGGGACCACUCAGAGCCGGGGCCGGGGCCGGGGCCGGGGGCCGACGGCGACGCCACCGACCCCAUGGACGCCAGAGACUCCAAGCUCCUCCUCCCGAAGGAGGUCAGCGGGAAGCAGCAGGAGCCGCUGUCUUUUCUCCUUGACAUCAUGCAUCAGCACAAGGAGGGGAGUGGCAAGCAAAGGCUCAAGCAGACCAGUAAGGCCGGCAGCGAGCCGGCAAGAAGGCCGGCCGAGCCCCCCAAGGCCUCCGAGAGCCAGCCCAGACCCCGGCCCCAGACUGAGUCGAAGGCAAAAGUCCUGGACCUCACUUCCCUGGCGGAGCAGAAAAGAGAGGAGAGGAAAGUCAACAGUAACAACAAUAACAAAAAGCAGCUGAACCACGUCAAGGAAGAAAGGUUGAAUCUGGCCCCCCAGGAGCCUGCCUCCCCCAGCGAGCACCCUCAGGACAGCAAGCUGGUGCCCGCAGACUCUCCUCAGCCCAAGGGCAAGAGCAAGAAAAACAGGAAGAAGAAAGGAGACAGAGUCAGCAGCUCAAUCGAUGAUGUCUUUCUGCCUAAAGAUAUCGACCUAGACAGCGUGGACAUGGACGAGACCGAGAGGGAAGUGGAGUAUUUCAAAAGAUUCUGUUUGGAUUCGGCUAGACAGACCCGACAAAGACUGUCCAUCAACUGGUCCAAUUUUAGCUUGAAAAAGGCCACUUUUGCCGCCCACUGAAUGAGGACCGCCUGGAGAGGGACACGCAGGAGAUCUCUCCAGGCAGUUUGUGGGAGUCUCCGGUGGAGCCGCCAUCCUGUUCCCACCCACUUCCCGGAGCACCCCGGAGCCCCACUGCUCCCCACUCUUGGACUUCUGGACUGACGGCAUGCAGGUGGGACAGAGCAGAGGCAAGAGGGACUCCUGAGGCUCUGCUCUGAGCCCUGGGCGGGACGGGGCCAAGUCUGGGGUGCUCAUCAGAAGCCCAGGUGAGAUGUCUGGCGCUGGGGAUCGCUGCUCGUGGGCAGAAGGCCCCCCAGGAACAAGUGUGGACAGGUCGGGCGGGGGGCUGUCCGCAGAUCCAGUGUCACAGGUGGCAGGAGCAUGGCACGGCAGGGCUGCUGUGGCCGAGGUGAGGUCCAAGAACUGGCCCUGGGCUCCCACCACAACCCCGUGGGAGCUGGUUUGCGGGAAAACAGGGUGGGAAGAGCAGGUCCUGGGACUAGGAGACGGGGUGGCAGCAAGACGAGCAGGGGGACAAAAAGCUGGCUGGCUUGUUGUGCUUUUGUUUUUUCUAGGUGGGAGGAAGGACAGCAUAUCUCUGCUCCUGGGAUGACCCAGCAGAUCGAGGAGCAGGCUGGGUGGUGACCACAGGAGCCAUGUCCUUUUCAAGAGGCCCUGAUGUGCCUCCAGGACUCCCAGGCCCAGGCCUCGUCCCUUCCCGGUGAGCGUGAGGGUAGCCGGGCUGGCUGGGCAAAUGCUGGGGAGGGUCCCGGGGAGCCUGCACACCUGGACCCUGCCAUCUGGGGAACCUGCCCGCCCAGGCCCACCCCUGAGACCCUGCCCGUGCCCCACCCCAUCCUUCUCAUGAGUUGGAAGCAGUCCCACCUGUGGGCCGAAGCUUUCAUCUGCCCUGGGGGCCACAGUGGCCGAAGGGUCCUACCUGUGACAUGAGCAGGGCCUUGUCGGGGCCAGGAGUGGUGAGGGGGACCCCUGGGCACCCCGACACAGGGUCCACACACACCCAUGUCUCCACCUAAGUUGGCCCCACCUGGCCCCCUGCCACACCCCUGCCCCCCUCACACACGGGCCAGCCACCUAGGCCUUGCUGCUUGAAAUCGGGAGAAUGCCCUGCCCACGUUCCGCACAAGGCCCAACCCUUUCGCUCCUUUGGGUCUUUCCCUGAGUGGGGGUUGGGGGCGGGGGUUGUCUCUUCACCAUUCCCAGUUCUCAGGAACAGAACACUGAGGAUGGAUUUCGGGCCUGGGAGGCCCAGGACAGUCCAGGGGUAGGAAAAGGUGGAGGGUCGAGGCUGGCAGGGCUUCCUUAGUUCAGCCCCUCCCACACAGGUGGAGGCAGGCCCAGGCCAAGACACUGGAUACUGUGCCCCCCAGUGCAAGGCUGCGUCGUCCUGCCCAGGCAUUGCAUUUACUGGUGGGGAAACCAAGGCCCGAGGUGUGCCUGCGAGACAUCUGGCCCCAGUGCUACUGUCUUCACAGGGGCCUCGGCCCGAGGGUCGGAUCGCGUUGGAGUGUCCCCUCCUUUACGCAAUAAAUGAUCACGAGAUGAAAUAAAAUAACAGUAGCUAGAAAAGAAACAGUGAAAAUGCCCUUUCGUUGAACUUUGUCUGCAUAGUCAGGCCGUUAAAAAAAAUAUUAUCAAAAUGAGCAUUAUGGUACCAAAAGGAUUAACAUUUCUUCGUUUCAUUAAUAUGUUUUUUUAAAGAAGAAAAAACUUCCCUCACAGGUCACGCUGUGUUGCGGUUUUAAACACAAAUAAAACCUCUCGGUCACACACGCAAUGACAAUUGAAGUAACUCGAGUCCUGGUUCUGUGUCUUCACAGUGACAGCCAGUCGCACUGUCUGUCUUGGAUCCACCACUAAACCGGAAGAGUAGCUGGUACGGGGCGGGGUGGGGAGUGGGGGGAGGAAUGGGAACGAACUGCACAGAGAAAAUUCAGGCGGUUCUGGACUGUUAAGAACUUGCUCCUGAACCUGUGUGUCCCUGGGAGCCCUGCAGAUUGUCUGCCACAGAGAAGACAGCAUGGGACAAGAGGAAGAGUCAUGAACGUGUGCCAGUGGCACACCCAGGAAGGAACAACUGCCAUGGAAACUGUCCCCGUGCCACACGAUCGUAAAACCGAGGAAGUUUAAACCACGCUUUUGGAUGUUGGACUAGAAGCACAUGGCAAUGUUUCCUGAGCCGAGGGGACGAAAGAGGGUAAGCCCCCUGAGUGCCCGCUUCCUGCCUGGAGGCAGCUUCCAGGACUAGCCCUGGGCAGGCCCAUGGCCACACCCCAGCAGGCCUGCUGAGUAGAGUAAGCCAAGACUGGCAUGGGGGGAGGCCCAGGCAGCUGGAAUUUGUGGGGCAGGGUUCCGAACAGGAGGGGCUGCAUCUCAGGAGCUCGGGGGGGGGGGGGGGGGGGGGAGGGGCUUCAGAGUCCCCUGCAAUCUACUGAUCUUGCAGGUGUGGCUUAAACUUCCAGGAACCCAAGGGAAAAUCACCAGAAAGCAGUACAUUUGGCUGCAAUAGUGUUUCUACCAGCCAGGGUGGAGAGACCUUGAAAUACUCGGAUAUAGACAUCGGUGUAGGGUCAGAAGGCUAUGAUCUUAGCAGUGGGGUUAAAUUAGCCCUAGAGUAAAAGCUAAAGCUAAAGGCAGGCCUCGGAAGGCUCAAACUGAUCCUAAGCAUCUUAACUGCCUGCCUCAACAAAGUCCAACCUAAAGGAAUACAAAAAUAUCCCACACUAAAUGAAAGUCUAAGUGAAGUUCUAAAGAAAAAAUAAAAUAUCUGCAAUGAAAAAUACUCUGGGUAGAAUUAACGGAUCAGAAACUUCAGAAAAAAUACCCAUGGACUUGAUGCCUCGGGAACACAAACUACCAGAAAGCAGAAAAGAGAAUGGAAAACAGUAGCCGGUGGGACAGUGUCAAGCAUUCCAACAUACAUGUAACUGGAAUCCUGGAAAAAUGAGGAACAACCACGACAAAAUACUAAUUCAAAGUGAACCUGUCACAAGUUUGCUGGAAUUACGGAUGAGGCUGUUGAGUCUGUAGGUCAGUUUGGGACGAAGUGACAUCUUGAGACCAUGGAGUUCCCAGUCUGCGUUUAUGUGUUCUUGACUUCGGCAGUAUUUUGUAGCUUUUAUUGUAGAGAUUUUGCACACUUUUGAUGAAUUUUUCCUAGGCACUUUGUUUUUGAUGUCAUCACAAAUGGAGUUAUGCUUUAGUUUCCUGGGGCUCCCAUAACGCAGUGCCACAAACUGGGUGGCUUAUGACAGAAACUUCUCCUCUCACAGCCCUGGAGGAUAUAAACCCGAAAUGUGGGUAUCGGCAGGAUUGGUUCCUUCCAGAGGUUGGAAGAACCGCCUGUUCCAUGCCUCCCUCCUAGCUCCCGGUGGUCACUGGCAAUCCUUGGCUUACAGAGGCAUCACCCCCAGUCUCUGUCUGUCUUCACGUGGCCUUCUCCCUGCAUCUCUGUGUUCGUCUCUUUAAGAUUUUAAGCAAUUCCGGGGCACCUGGAUGGCUCAGUUGGUUAAGUGCCUGACUUUGGCUCAGGUCAUGAUCUCAUGGUUCGUGAGUUUGAGCCCCAUGUCAGGCUCUGUGCUGACAGCCUGGAGCCUGCUUCCGAUUUUGUGUCCCCCUCUCUCUCUGCUCCUCCCCCACUCGCGCUUGGUGUCUCUUUCUCUCUCUCUCAAAAAUGAAUAAACAUUAAAAAAUUUUUUUUCAAAUAAUCUCUACACCCAACAUGGGACUCAAACUCACAACCCUAAGAUCAAGAGUUGCACACUCGCACGUCUCUUCUGUCCCUACAAGGACAUGAGUCACUGGGUUUAGGGCCCACCCUCAUCCAGCACAUCAUCUCAUAUUACAUAUGCAAAGACCCUAUUUCCAAGUGAGGUCACAUUCACAGGUUCUGGGGGUUAGUUAGGACUUAACAUCUUGUUGGUCACUGUAUCUUUUGGGGAGUUUUAAAUUUGCCUUUCUUGGGGUGCCUGGGUGGCUCAGUUGGUUCAGUGUGUGACUUUGGCUCAGGUCAUGAUGUCGCAGUUCGUAGGUUUGAGCCCCCACACCGGGCUCUGUGCCGACAGCUCAGAGCCUGGAGCCUCCUUCAGAUUCUGUGUCUCCCUCUCUCUCUGCCCCUUCCCCACUUGCAUGUUCUCUCUCAAAAAUAAACAUUAAGUUUGCUUUUCUACCUGUUGUAAACAUACAGGAGUAUGGUAGAUUUUUCAUAUAUCGAACUUUAUCUCUUGAGGUUGUCAAAUAAUUGACAUAAAUUCUAAACUUUAAGAACACCUAGAAUUUUAUGUGUGUGUGUAUGUACUCCUUUAUGUAUAUAUAUCAUAUAUACAUACAAUCUGUCAUCUGCAAAUAGGGACGGUUUUAUUUACUUUUUCCCCAACUUUUUUGUUCUUUAUUCCCUUUAUUACUGCACUGGGUAGAACCUCCUGUACAAUGUUGAAUUACAGUGGUUAAGAGUGAACAACCUUGUCUUGAUACAAACCUCAGCAGGGACAGCAUUUAAUAUUAUAUCAUCAAAUAUAAUGUUAGCUGUAAGUUUUUGGACAUAACACCUUUUUCAGAUUGAGGAAAUGCCUUCUUUUUCUAGUUUGCUGAGUGUUUUUUUUUUUUUUUUAUCAUGAGUGGGUAUUAAAUUUUGUCAUAUACUUUUUUGGCUUCUAUUGAGAUCAUGUGUUUUUUUCUGUUAUUCUGUGAAUAACAUUUAAUGCUUUUUUGAAUGACCAAUCUUGUAUCCGUAAUUAAAGUUCUCCUUGGCUAUGA